rnacentral:misc_RNA from 1 species
GUCGCAUCGCUCCGUGCCAACCCCGUCCCCCCGAUGGGUGGGCCGGCGGAGGCUCGGAUGCGGAGAGUGGCCCGUCGUUCCCCAUCGGUGCGGCGGGCUGAAGAGCGGGUUCUCAUCUCGUUGGCCGCGAGCAACAAGGGUGGAUGGGAGCAAGGCCUACGUUGUUGCAUCGUGCCUGUCGGAGAGAGGAUCGCACCCCUCAGGUGAAUCCCGAACCAUGCGUCGGUCCACGGAGCGACGGCUUGGGAU